UCUUUCUUCAUCUUUGGCUAUUUCAGGCCUGGGGUUUCAUGCCAGCUAUUGGUGCAGGAACCUUGAUACAAAACUGGCUCGUAGGUGCUACGAAAUCAAAGUCAUCCCUGAGAAUAUACUGUCUGGAAUGAUGGCUGUUUACCUGGCAUUCACCAUCCUCGAAUUCUGCAUCUCCAUCUCCACUGCUGCCUUUGGGUGCAAGACGGUGUGCUUGAAAACCCACACAGAAACGGUUGUGGUGGUUUACCAGAACACGAUUCUGGGCAGUGCUAAUGCUGCCAAUCUCCCGGCUUCUGGCAAGGAUGCAAAAU